CUCUACCUAUGUCUACGCGUACCACUUGUUUCCUCGGGGGGCUUGCCCCCCGUUAGGACUCUUUCAUCAACCUUUUUGCAAUAGCAGUCAGCGUCUGAUACUACGUUAAUUAUUAAAACUUUCAACAAUGGAUCUCUUGGUUCUGGCAUCGAUGAAGAACGCAGCGAAAUGCGAUAAGUAGUGUGAAUUGCAGAAUUCAGUGAAUCAUCGAAUCUUUGAACGCACAUUGCGCCCCUUGGUAUUCCAUGGGGCAUGCCUGUUCGAGCGUCAUUUGAACCCUCAAGCUCUGCUUGGUGUUGGGUGUUUGUCCCGCCAUUGCGCGUGGACUCGCCUUAAAGCAAUUGGCAGCCAUGUAAUCCGGCUUUGAGCGCAGCACAUUGCGUACUCUCUACUGGUACAUUGGCAUCCAGAAGCGCAUUUUUUUACUCUUGACCUCGGAUCAGGUAGGGAUACCCGCUGAACUUAAGCAUAUCAAUAAGCGGAGGAAAU
rnacentral:rRNA from 1 species